CUUAGCGGCCAAAGCGGUGGGGAAACUCCUGGUCCCAUUCCGAACCCAGAAGAUAAGCCCACCGGCGUUCCGGGUUGUACUGAGGUGCGCGAGCCCUCGGGAAGCCCGGAAAGCUGCUAAGC
rnacentral:rRNA from 1 species